rnacentral:lncRNA from 1 species
GUUUCUUCAGGACCUUGGCUGAGACGGACAGAGGUAGGGCUAGAUGCGGAGAGGACGGCCCAAACGACUAACAGCCCCUUCCAAAUUCGGUUCAAGUCACCAUCUGGAAAUUUUGAGAGAAAUUCUAGGACAAGGAGAGAAGAGAUGUGGAUCUUCUCGGGAGAAGGGACAGAGACAAGGCUGCAGCUACAGAACACAGAGGAGAUGGAGAGAAGGUGAGACUUGGGAGGAAAAAGAGCUCCUAUUCCCAGCAACUGUCAGGGUAGAAUCCCAGAGAGAGAUCUGUCGCCCCAGAUCUGCUGCUUUGGAGACAUCCAAAAAUGAAAAGGCAAAAGAACUGGCUUGUCCUCACCUUGUCCACAGUAAGGCUUUCCUGGCACGACAGGUGCGCACAGCAGUCCGACGCCUGGCCUUUUCUGAUGACGUAGUGGAUGCUGGGACUCCGGUUCAGCUGGCUUCUUGAUAGUCCUGUUGAUUUCAUAACCGGACCGGGAGAUCUCCGCCUCCAGCCCCUGGAGUUAUUUGGGUAUCUCACUUCCUUUUGCUCUGGUUGGGUCAGGCCAGGUGGACCACCAUGUUCAAGUGGCCUCUGUCCCCAUCCCCUGGCUCUUGUCUUCACUGCUGAGACCCAUCUGUCAGAUUCAUCUUCAUCUUGGCAACCCAAGAUUUCCCAGUGCGUGUAAACACAUGUACCCGGGUCAGGUACAUGCGGCCUGAGACUCUGUGUUCCUUUUUAGCCCAUGGAGGGUUGGUAGAAAAAUUUAUAAUAUUCUAACUUGAGUUACACUUGUGUGGGGGAAGCUAUAUUCCCACAGUACACACAAAUAUAAGUGAAAGGAAAAAAAAAAAAACGCCAACAAAAACCAAAAUGGAAAACUCUUCUUUUGCUUCGUUUAUACUGUUUUGAUGGUUGUCUCUAUAGGAGUUCUGUCAGACUCUGCCUGUGCAGCUAGGAAGGGUAUUCUGAAUUCAUCAUUUUCUCUGUAUAAUGCUACUUUAAAGUCAGACAAAACACAAGAGGGAGGGACAGCCAGGUCCUACACAAGGCAGAAAGGGCCUUUGGUUACAAGAAAAGUCGCACCAAGUGGUUCUUAAAAAAGAAAGCAAUCAUUUCUACACUGUACACCCGCCGUCGGCUUAACCAACCAAUGAAAUGCCUUGGUUUAAAGAAGGGGGGCGGUAACUUCCUUCUGGCUAUUUAUGGCUAUGUUAAGACGUGUUUACUUCCUGAUAUGUAAAAUAGACUAUAUCAUCAGUAGGAGGUUUUUUUUUUUUUUUUUACAGAUAGCUCUAAAAAUAUCUGAAUCGGAAAUCACAACUAUUUACUUUUUAUCAAAAAGCAUUUGUUUGUUUCCCUGAAUUUUCACAUUUGUGCUGAUGGGUGACUUAUGAGCAACACAAAAGACAGACAUGGAAGAUGGUCAGCAGAAAGGUCCCACGAUCACCAAUCACCGGUCACACAC